rnacentral:RNase_P_RNA from 1 species
GGAGUGAACUGGGCGACCGCUCGACGACGCACUGCCACGUGGGUGCGUUUCGGGAGGAAAGUCCGGGCUCCACAGGACAGGGUGGUGGGUAACGCCCACCGGCCGCGAGGCCCGGGAAAGUGCAGCAGAAAGCAGACCGCCCGCGGGGGCACGCCCCCGCGCGGUAAGGGUGAAACGGUGAGGUAAGAGCUCACCAGCAGGCUGGGUGACCAGCCUGGCUAGGCAAACCCCACCCGGAGCAAGGCCAAACAGAGAGGAUCAGGGGCAACCCUGAGCGGACCGGUCCGGUCCGCCACCACACUCGGGUAGGCCGCUACAGAGGCGGAGCAAUCCGUUCUCGCAGAGAAAUGGUCGCUCCCCUGCGGCAGCGCAUGCUGCCGCAGGGGAACAGAACCCGGCUUACAGGUUCACUCCGAAC